CUAAUGGAUCAUCCGAACAGGUCAUCCCCAUCCUUGGACUGAAACUGUACUUUGCUCAUUAAUGAUAAACUAUGUCUGACAAAAAAAGUGCAACUUGUGGCGAGCAGCAACAGCUGAACCCUUUCCUGACGAUUACUUUACAGUGAAGCAACCAGAGACUUUUUAAGUCUGUGCACACUUCUGGGAGCUUCCCCACAUUCCUUGUUCAUAUCUCCUCAACGUUCUUCUUCUUCACUUGGGACCUCGCUCUUCAAUGGACACUACUACUCACUAGCUAACAGAGCUGGAGCUAUUGAAAAAAUCCAAAUGGUCGAAAGUGAUCUCGACCACCUCAAGCAAGAAAUGUCCCAGGUCACCAGCCACCGCCGAAUCGCCAGCUCCGGUACUCCGCAGCCCAAAACGAGCGGCAGUGCCAGUCGGCUGCCGUCGACUUUUAACUUGAGUGAUGCUCAGUAUCUCAACAUAUUGCAGUCGAUUGGGCAGUCUGUGCAUGCAAUGGAUCGUAGUGGUCGUAUAAUCUACUGGAACAGAAGUGCUGAAAAACUGUAUGGUUAUUCUCCGGAAGAGGCCCUUGGACAGGUUUCCAUUAAGCUCAUAGUAGAUUCCCGGGACUUUGGUGUAGCAUAUAAUAUAGUCCACCGUGUCAUCCACGGGGAGAGUUGGACUGGGCAGUUCCCUGUAAAGCACAAAUCGGGGGCGAGGUUUUCAGUCAUUACAACAAAUACUCCAUUCUAUGAUGAUGCUGGCAGUUUAAUUGGGGUUGUUGCUACAUCAACUGAUUCUCAGCCCUUUUAUGAAAUGAGGGUUCCAAUGUCAGCUGAGAAGCAACCACAACAAGAUCUAAGCUUCAGCAGUCGUGGGGCUAGUGUUACAACUAAAUUCGGUGCUGAUCCUCAGCAGCCUCUGCGAAAAGCGGUUUUGUCAAAACUAACAGACUUGGCAUCGAAGAUGAGUUUCAAAGUCAAGUCAAAAAUUCAGGCAAGAGAAAACAACAUGGAUCCCAAAGGUGACAGCGAAGAUAGUCAUCAUCCGUUUCAUGGUUCAGAUUCUGUCACAUCUGCCAAUAGGGAGGAUGGGAAUGCAAGUGGGACUAGCACAGCUACAGGAACUAUACCCCCAGCAACUCCUUUUGGUGUAUUUAACCAUGUUGAGAGCAAGCCUCUAGGAGAACCCUCCAUAGACUCUGCCAGUGAGAGCAAAGAAAAAUCUUCAAUUCACAAGCUAAUUGCCUCAAAGGCAGAAGCAUGGAUUAGUAAGCAGGAGAUAUCAUGGCCUUGGAAAGGAAAUGAGCGAGAUGGGUCAGUGGCUAGGGCCAGUGGUUUUGUUUGGCCCUGGUUUCAUAAUGAUCAAGUCAAUUUUGCCAUUCCUCAGAAGAGUUAUUGUGUCUCAGAACCAGAAAUUCAGGUGAGCGAAAGUAAUCGGCCAACAAAUAAUAAUGAUGAGACUCAAGGAUCCUGGACCUCUCCAUUGGAUAUUAACAGCAUAAGCCGUGCCAUCAGCCUUAGAAGGACCAGUAGUGCUUUGCCUACGGUGGAUGUGGACACUGAUUGCUUGGAUUAUGAAAUCUUAUGGGAAGACAUGAUAAUUGGAAGACAGAUUGGGCAAGGUUCAUGUGGAACUGUAUACCAUGGUCAGUGGGAUGGAUCAGAUGUUGCCGUUAAGGUAUUCUCCAAGUUAGAAUAUCCGGAUGAUUUGUUACUUUCCUUCAAACAAGAGGUAUCUCUAAUGAAAAGGCUUCGACAUCCAAAUGUUUUGCUUUUCAUGGGAGCGGUGACUUCACCUGAGCGUCUCUGCAUUGUCACAGAGUUCCUCCCACGUGGAAGUUUGUAUCAAAUACUACAGAGGAACCCAUCAAAACUAGACUGGAGACGACGUAUUAAUAUGGCUAUGGAUAUAGCAUGGGGCAUGAAUUAUCUUCACCAUUUCAACCCACCAAUCAUUCAUCGAGACUUAAAGUCUUCAAAUCUCCUAGUUGAUAAGAACUGGACUGUCAAGGUUGGCGAUUUUGGUCUUUCACGUUUUAAGCAUGAAACUUUUCUUAUAAACAAGAGUGGCAGGGGAACGCCUCAAUGGAUGUCACCAGAAUUUCUACGUAGUGAACCCUCGGAUGAGAAGUCUGACAUAUAUAGCUACGGGGUGAUAUUGUGGGAGCUUGCUACUGAGAAGAUUCCUUGGGAUAAUCUAAACCCAAUGCAGGUGAUUGGAGCUGUUGGAUUCAUGAACCAAAGACUGGAGAUCCCAAAAGAUGUGGACCCAAAGUGGGCUUCUAUAAUGGAGAGUUGCUGGCACAGUGAUCCAGCUAGCCGGCCAACAUUUCUAGAACUGCUCGAAAAGCUUAGAGUGUUGCAUAGACAAUAUAAUCUCCAGUUCAAGGCAGCGCGUUCCGCCUCUAGUGAGAGCACCCAAAAGGAAUUGUAAUCACCAGGCCACGUUUUUGUUCAUUGGGUUUCAUUAUUUCAUUCACCACAUUGGUAGAUGAAGCAGCCACUCUCAGAUACUUCCACAGUUCCACCUGGUAUUGAAAAGUGGUAAUGUUCUAUAGCAGUCGAUAGAGGACUCAGCUCAGGAGGGCCAAGCCUGGAGCAUGUGAAGGAAGAUUCUAAAAAAGCUCAUGAAUGGCGAAGUCCAAUAUAUCAGAGAAGAAGGAUGUUAUUGGAGCUUCCUGUCGCUCCA